UACGUAGAGUGCAAGCGUUAAUCGGAAUUACUGGGCGUAAAGCGUGCGCAGGCGGCUUUGCAAGUCAGAUGUGAAAUCCCCGGGCUUAACCUGGGAACUGCAUUCGUGACUGCAUGGCUAGAGUGCGGCAGAGGGGGAUGGAAUUCCGCGUGUAGCAGUGAAAUGCGUAGAUAUGCGGAGGAACACCGAUGGCGAAGGCAAUCCCCUGGGCCUGCACUGACGCUCAUGCACGAAAGCGUGGGGAGCAAACAGG
rnacentral:rRNA from 1 species